UCUUUUUGAGUUUAGUGGAAUUGUUAUACUUCGAUUUUAUUGUCCAUAUAUUCGGUAUUAUGGAAGCUAUGAGUUUUAAAUAUUUAUGUUAUUUCAUAUCUAAAAGUGGUGUGAUAUAAUUACGAAAGCAAAACUGCAGAAUCAUUUAUAAGUAUGUGAUUUACAUGUUGUUCAGUUAGUUAGUUAGUUAGUUAAAUGUGUUAACUGCAGCGAGUUGUAAUAAUGAUUGUAACUUUUUUAUUAGUUAUUAUAGCUCAACUGGAUGGAUGCGUCGUCAGGUCUAAAUCUCGCCGGUUCAGGACAGCACCAGUGACGUACUGUGACGGACACAAAGGAUCCGGAGAGAAGAUCAGCGCUCGGUGCAGUUACCCCGGUUACCACUGCUACUGCAUCAACCUCCCCCACGAGUAUCCUUCUUGUCAGUGCUCACGCGAGAUUGCCCCCACCACGCCUCUUCCUGUGUUUACUUCCUCUGCUGUGCCGCCACUGGGGGGCGCGGCAGCCACAUGGAAACCUUUAUAUGUUCUGGGGAUCGGAGGAGGGGUGCUUUUAGUGGUUGUUUUAACGAGCAUUGCGUGUUGUUGUGUGUGUAGACACUGGUACGCGCAGCAGCCACGUGCAGUGCCUGAUAAACCGCCUGAGUACAGUGAUUCUCCGCCCCCGCCUUACGCGCACUCCUCUUUCUACGCCACUAAUGCUCACCGUCCUAGAACUGUACACAGGAUAACCCGCGGGGCUCAUCCCUCUGCUUCAGUUACAAGACAUGUUUCAAGUGCUAUUUUACAGGCCUCGUCUCGUCAUAAUAAUGUGGCUCCUAUCGGAAUGGUAGGUAGUCAUUCUGAACAUAACAUGCAGAAUAUGCAGAAUAUACAGAAUAUGCAGAAUAUCGAGAGUUAUCCUAUUAUAAGGACAGAGGAAUGUUACCGGACGAUCAGUAGAGGUGAUAGUGACAGAGUGAGGUUUCCUGUGGGAAAUACCCGUUCAGGGGGACGGUUUAAUUCAGAUGACAUUGCUAUUGUAGAUCUAGACGAGGUGUGACAGUGCGAAGAGGUAAAUCAACAUUCCAUAAUUAGCCUAGCAAAUAGCAGGUCGAUUGGUCAUAUAUAUCAGGGGGAAUUUAAUAUACAUAUUUGAAAAUUGAUGUUUUUGGAAUGUUUGGUAUUUUGUAGUGGAAUCUAGUGAACAUUUGGAUGUCAGAGGUGCUAUGUACUGUUUUUUUUUGUGAGUUAAAUUUGAAUGUACAUGAUGUGCGAUUUUCCGUGACUUUGAACGAAUGAUUAAAUGAAAAUA